rnacentral:ncRNA from 1 species
UCCUUUAAUUAGGACACGUGUAUAAAUGUUAUGCGCUCCCCUUACAAUGGAUGUGAGAGGGAGCGAUUUU